AUUUCAAUGGUAUCAUAGUUUCUACCUUCCGGGGUUGCCUAAGACUUACGAAAUUCACUAACCGAUGAUGACGGUUUAAGGAGAUGCAAUACAAAUUUCCGUUGUUGAUGUCCAAUUCCAUAUGCAUUUUUAUGGCUAUAACUUAUAUCAAAUUUUAAUAUGAUAGAAUCAAUAAAAAUGAUUUUGGCUUAGCUAAAAGAUUAUUAAAAAAAAAAUCCAUAGGCCAUAACCCACAAAAAAGAAAAACUUAAUUAUAUACGAGUGCUUAACCAUAACCCUAAAGCUAUCUUUAAACUUUGUUGGAUCCAACUCUAUGAUGGAGGAGAGCCAGUUUCUGAUUAUACCGUCG
rnacentral:lncRNA from 1 species